rnacentral:misc_RNA from 1 species
GAUGAAGAACGUAGCGAAAUGCGAUAAGUAAUGUGAAUUGCAGAAUUCAGUGAAUCAUCGAAUCUUUGAACGCACAUUGCGCCCGCCAGUAUUCUGGCGGGCAUGCCUGUUCGAGCGUCAUUACAACCCUCAGGCCCCCGGGCCUGGCGUUGGGGAUCGGCGGAGCCCCCCGUGGGCACACGCCGUCCCCCAAAUGCAGUGGCGGUCCCGCCGCAGCUUCCAUCGCGUAGUAGCUAACACCUCGCGACUGGAGAGCGGCGCGGCCACGCCGUAAAACACCCAACUCUUCUCAAGUUGACCUCGAAUCAGGUAGGAAUACCCGCUGAACUUAAGCAUAUCAAUAAGCGGAGGA